rnacentral:lncRNA from 1 species
CAUGUGGUAGAAGUUUAGGCAUAGUUCAUGGUGUGAAAAAUAGAGAGGAGGGUCCUCUCUCUUGGGGUGUGUACAAAAAUCUGAAUUUUAGGUUUUUGGUUCUAAGGGUUUGGGAGGAGGAAAUAAAUUAGAAAAAAAAUAUUUUCUUCUCUAUUUUUCUUUUACCUCUUCAUCUCCUCUAGAGGUCUAUCUUCAAUCUCUGGAAAGGUUUCAGAGAUUUAAAGAAGGGAUCCAGAUUAGCCAAGAAGAAGGUCUUCGCAUGAGCUAGCACUCUCGAGAAGACCGAUCAGAUCGGGGCUUUGAGUAAAUUUUUUGU